UCGUGAUCCACCCGCCUCAGCCUCCCAAAGUGCUGGGAUUACAGGCGUGAACCACCGCGCCCGGCCUGCUUUUUAUUUUAAGAGAUGGAAUGCUAAAAAGCCACAUCAGAAUGCCAAGAGGCUGUGCAUCUUGUUAAUUUUUUUCUUGAACUGUUCCAGGGAGUUAUAUCAUAAUUACCUAUGUGUGGGUAUGCAUGGGUGGAUGAAAGAUGCUGUUCUCAUUCCAUCCCAACAGUCUCCUUCUUCCUUUCUCUUUUUUACAUUUAUUUUUAGCUUUUUCAGUAGCAUUUAGUGUGGGUUUUACUAAUUAAUAGAAAAAGCACUGGGCCUUUAAACUUCUUAACCACUCUUCUCUUUCAUCUCCUAAAACUUUGAAUAUUCAUUCUUUCCUGAAGUUUGCAUUUAAAUGAAAAUGAGUUUCGCUUUGUCUUUUAGGUUUAGUUUCAAAAAGGUUUAAUUCUGUACCCCAGCCAGUUAAGAAAUGUUUUAGCAGGUUAGGAUGAGCCACAAAUUCCUAUGCCAGAUCUGCAGGGUCCAAUGCAGCAGCAGCCCUUGAGUAGCUGGCACACCUUGCUGGUGUGAACCACACCUGUGCCUGGGCCUGCAACCACUCCACCUUCCCCUGGAUGGAUCUUCAGCUCCUCUGCAAAGGGUCUGUUUCAGCAGAAUGCCCACACCAUCAAGGUCAGAAGCAACAAAAAUGGACAGAUUUUAGCAUCCUCAUGGGCUCUAGCCCAUGCCUGUGGGUUGCAGUUUGUUCUCCCCAACUCCACAUCUUUUCUGACUACCUGCCCUCUGGGCUUCAAGCUCCAGCACUGGACAGGAAGAGAAGAGCCUUACAGAGACUACUUCACUACUUCUUCUUUUUAUGUUAACCAUACUGGAAAUGAGGAACAUUUUCACAAAACUUGUGAACAUAUUUGCAUCUUUGAAUAAGAAGAAAAAUAAAACGUCUAAGGAAGUACCCUACAAAUAACAUUAGUCCUUAAUUUUAAGAAUGUGGAAAAUGAAGGUUCCAAGAGAAAUAAUCUGUUAGUUUUGAACUAGGCUUGUCUACUGUUUAAAGAUUGCCUCUCAAAAUUCCACCAAAGUGUGGGUUUCUUCCCCACAGAACACCCCUCACCCAAAAAAAAAAAAAAAAAAAAAAAAAA